GUCCUAAUUGUAGUUUUGGCAAAACUUUCCAUUACUACCACGAUAUAUUUGAAUAUAAGGGGAGGGGGUGUGGCACCGCCCACUACGCCCAUUAGAAAGAGCAAGGUCACACCAUUAUAACUGUGAAAGCCCCAACUUCCUAGGGCCCCUAUAGAACCCCCAGGAGAAGUUAAAAAAUUUGGUUUUUUCGGCCGCAUUUGCAGUUUGUACUGAAAUACAGUUGCAGAGAAGUGUAUACAGCAGUCGUCAACCCAGCAAGCAUUUAACUUACAGUUAGUAACAUAAAUAAGUAUACAGGAGCCUGAUUUAUGGAAUUGUUUGACGCUAACGCUUUCCUUAAUAUGUAAUACAAAAAUUUUACACAUGGUACUGUUAUCCACGCUUUGCUUUGCCUUUGAUGUCAGGGAAAUUUAUGUCAAAAGUUAGUAUACAGCAAACGAUUGUUCAGUUGGCAUAACAUUUAUUUUUACGCAUUGAUUAAAAAAGUUAGAACUAUUAAAAGGAAAUAAUCAAAUAAUGGGACCAAGAGGAAAAGAGCUUUCUGAUGAUUUAAAAAAACUGAUUAUAAAAUAUCACAAGGAACAUAAAUCAUUGCGAGAAAUCGGUCGUUUGAUAAAUAGGAAUUUUGCUACAGUUCAAAAGAUUGUGAAUAAAUAUAAAAGUGCGGGAAACACCACUAAUAAAGAGCGUUGUGGGCGUCCGCCGCUCUUAAGCCCCAGAGAAAGCAAAAUCAGGACAAACCCCAAAAUGAGUGCCCCCAAAUUGAAAUCUCAAGUUGAAAAUGAGACUGGAAAACAAUUUAGCACCCAAACUAUUCGCCGGGUUUUGCAUAGUGCUGGUUAUCAUGGGCGCAGUGUUAGGAAAAAGUCCUUCGUGAGUAGUGUCAAUCGGAGUAAUCGGAUUUCAUUCGCAAAAUAUCAUGAAAAAUAUGACCAAACGUUUUGGAAAUAAGUCAUAUUUUCUGAUGAGUGUAAGUUCAGUAUCUGUGGAUCUGAUUGCCGUGAAAAAGUUUGGAGAAAAAUUAACGCGGAAUUGGAUCCAAACAAUAUGACCGGCACUGGGGUUGAAAACUUGGUCUUUAUCGAAAAUAUGGACCGAUAUGGUUACUUAAAUAUUUUGAAAAAUAUUUUAAAAGAAAGCGCUAUGAAAUUGGGCCUUGGAGCAACGUUUAUCUUCCAGCAGGAUAAUCACCCCAAGCACACAUCCAACAUUGUACGAGAGUGGCUGUUAUACAAUGUGCGAAAACAGCUGUAAACACCGCCACAGUCCCCGGAUACCAACCCAAUCGAACAUUUAUGGGAACAUUUAAAGCGGCAAAUACGUAAACACGACAGUCGGUUCUACGUUACCGAAACGACCCGGAUUUAUAUCCGGCCAAGGACUGUCACUCCAGCAGCAUUCACCGUAUGUAAGUAUGGGAAAUGUUUAUGCUGCUACUACAACAACAACAACAUAAACAUCCGAUUAGAAAUAUGUAAUAACUGAAAAACGUCUUUCAAGAGGAAUGGAAUAAAAUACUACCAGCUGUAACUGAAAACUUGGUGAAAUCAAUGCCAUCACGACUUAAAGCGAUUGUAAAGUCUAAUGGUUAUCCUACCAAAUACUAGGAUUAGAUUUUAAUUAUGUUUUUGAUUUCACAAAUUAAUAAUAUGAUGAACUGUAUACUUACUUUUGAGACCUGAAUUUUUAUAAAGAGUAAUAUAAAAAACUAUAAUUUUGUUCCUUUUUCAAAUUUUGUCAUUAUUUGGAUUAAAUAUGAUUUUUGUAUUUCAUUCAUGUAAAUAAAACACAAUUUUGUUAUAACUUAGGUUGUUUGAAGGAAUCGAUUGGAGGAAAAUUGAAAACGUAUCCGGUGUAUACUUACUUCCGUUACUAACUGUAGGUUUUAUAAUUCAUAGCACUUAUGAAAAUGUUGUUUUAUGGUAAAAGUUAUGAGUGCCGCUGCCGAAUUUAGGCUAAAAACUGUCCGAUUUGCACUAUUUCACUAUAAAUUUUUUUGACGUGAUAACGUCUUAUAAUUCGAUUUACGCACGCACGAAAAAAUGUGUCGUUACCUUGCUCAUUUGUCGUUACCUUGCUCAUUGCCGUUACCUUGAAUGAACUGCAAGCGAAAGCGCGGAACGCACAAAGCAAACGAACGGCAACGUUCGACAUCUUGCUCUCUCCUACUUAAGUGAGCGUAUAUAUGUAUGUAUAUGCGCAUAUGUACAUAUAUAAAUUCACGUAUUUGUACUUGCAUAUGCCUUCUUAUUGAUUAUUAUUAAUUUGAUUUACUUGAAGAAUUUAAAAUAAA